rnacentral:rRNA from 1 species
AAACCGUUCAGGGGUAAACCUGUGAAACCCAAAAGAUCGAAUGGGGAGAUUCAUCGUCAGCGUAUUCAGUAUUAAUGCAGGCUAUGAUGUGAUGAUAGAAUCCUCGUGGUCACUAAAUUAACUUGCUUGAUUAUUUUUGCGGGAGUCGGCGUGCCUUCCCAGAAACGUCGCACCCGUUGGUGUUUAUCUAUGGCCGAUUAACC